rnacentral:rRNA from 1 species
GAUGAACGCUGGCGGCGUGCCUAAUACAUGCAAGUCGAGCGAACAGACGAGGAGCUUGCUCCUCUGACGUUAGCGGCGGACGGGUGAGUAACACGUGGAUAACCUACCUAUAAGACUGGGAUAACUUCGGGAAACCGGAGCUAAUACCGGAUAAUAUAUUGAACCGCAUGGUUCAAUAGUGAAAGACGGUUUUGCUGUCACUUAUAGAUGGAUCCGCGCCGCAUUAGCUAGUUGGUAAGGUAACGGCUUACCAAGGCAACGAUGCGUAGCCGACCUGAGAGGGUGAUCGGCCACACUGGAACUGAGACACGGUCCAGACUUCUACGGGAGGCAGCAGUAGGGAAUCUGCCGCAAGGGGCGAAAGUCUGACGGAGCAACGCCGCGUGAGUGAUGAAGGUCUUCGGAUCGAAAAACUCUGUUAUUAGGGAAGAACAAAUGUGUAAGUAACUAUGCACGUCUAGACGGUACCUAAUCAGAAAGCCACGGCUAACUACG